CAGGCGGCUGCCGAAGAUGGCGGAGGGGCAGGUCCUGGUGCUUGAUGGCCGAGGCCAUCUCCUGGGCCGCCUGGCGGCCAUCAUGGCCAAACAGGUGCUUCUGGGCCGGAAGGUUGUAGUCGUGCGCUGUGAGGGCAUCAACAUUUCUGGCAAUUUCUACAGAAACAAGUUGAAGUACCUGGCCUUCCUCCGCAAGCGCAUGAACACCAACCCAUCCCGUGGCCCCUACCACUUCCGAGCACCCAGCCGCAUCUUUUGGCGGACAGUGCGAGGCAUGCUGCCACACAAGACCAAGCGAGGCCAGGCUGCCCUGGAGCGCCUCAAGGUGUUUGACGGGAUCCCGCCGCCCUACGACAAGAAAAAACGGAUGGUGGUUCCUGCUGCCCUCAAGGUGGUGCGCCUGAAGCCUACACGGAAGUUUGCCUACCUGGGGCGCCUGGCUCAGGAGGUUGGUUGGAAGUACCAGGCAGUAACAGCCACCCUGGAGAAGAGAAAGGAGAAGGCCAAAACCCAUUACCGGAAGAAGAAGCAGCUCAUGAGGCUACGGAAACAGGCCGAAAAGAAUGUGGAGAAGAAAAUCGAUAAAUACACAGAGGUCCUCAAGACCCAUGGACUCCUGGUCUGAGCCCAAUAAAAUUGACUGUUUAUUCCUCAAAAAAAAAAAAAAAAAAAAAGAAA